UAUUCGAGAAUCUUCGGGUCUCAAAAACAAUAUUCCUGAAAAAACGACAAACGAGAAUUGACAGCUACCCAAUUCGUGUCACGCUUUCGACUCACUUUUAUUUUAUUUUUCUUUUCCAAUAAUUCUUCCAUAAGAGAUAAAAAAAAAACCUUAAUAAUAUAAAGGAAUAUUUGUCUUUUUGCCAAGGGAUUUUUUAACCGUGACCUCUUUUAGUUCCCGCAUUUAUUACUUUUAUUGAAAAUAAAAAAUCCCGUUGAUAAUUUGAAAAUGAAACUCGUUAUGACGGUAAUUAAUAUCCUCGUGGAUUUAAAUUGGAGUACCGGGAAUAAAUUAAUGCAUCAUUUUUCAGGUUCUGAUUACACUGGGUAUGAAUAAACUAUUGAGUUAUGUAUUUACAUACACGUCCAUGUUCUACACUCGUACCAAUGCACUGCUGGAUCAUUCAUUUCCUCGUGGAUAAUCAGGUGAACGGAAUCGAACCCGUAGAAUGCAUGUUACGGGAAGAGAUGAGAUUAAGAGUGAGACGAAAUAAACCAAUGGCAUUAUAAGGCUGACCCCUCGGAUGGUUCAAUGACAGCUUGGAUGUGAACCUGGGUAUCAGCAAGUGUGUGAGCUGAAGAUUCGAAGAUGCUGAGCACGUAAAUUAAAUAGCGCCUUUGGCACCUGUGCCGGGCUCACAAAAACCGCUGAGAUAAGAAGCCGUACUGAAAAAUCUCAUUACCGCAAGACAAAGUUUUAGAGAGCAUGUAAUAGUCCAGCUCAGUGCAGUAGUACACCAGGCAUCAGGCAGCGAAAGAGAGAAACUGGGAUUGGAAUAGGAGUCAGUAUAGAAAACCAGAGUCAGAAUCAGAAUCAGAGUCAGAGCAUAGAGUCCAGAGUACAGAGAGUACCACCGGCCACAUGGAAACGUGGACAGAAUAAUGGGCGUUGUGAAGUGCGUCGCGGUUGCUACAGAAGUGGGCAUUGUUGGCCCACAUGCUCACUCGAAUAAACCCAGUCGAUCGACUUUAUACCAACACAUUAUAUCCAUACGUCCAUUCCAUGGGAACGUGGACGUCUAGUAGACCGUCCAUAACUUUAAAUAAAAAAAUUGUUACUUGCUAAUUUUUUUUAGUAUCACAGCCGGAUUAAUUUUAAAUAAUUACGUUCUGUUCAUUAUCUUGUAAAAAAAAAAAAUGAUUUCCUGUAAAAUUUAUUGUUAAUAAAAUAAUUUAAU